GUGCACCAGUCGAGAAACCUCCGCAAUGCGGGAAACCGCGACGGGGGGACCCCGAGUGCCGUGGCAACGCCACGGCUUUUCCGGAGUGUAAAAAGCUCCGGGAAUAAGGGCUGGGCAAGGCCGGUGGCAGCCGCCGCGGUAAUACCGGCGGCCCGAGUGGUGGCCGCUAUUAUUGGGCCUAAAGCGUCCGUAGCCGGGCCCGUAAGUCCCUGGCGAAAUCCCACGGCUCAACCGUGGGGCUUGCUGGGGAUACUGCGGGUCUUGGGACCGGGAGAGGCGGGGGGUACCCCUGGGGUAGGGGUGAAAUCCUAUAAUCCCAGGGGGACCGCCAGUGGCGAAGGCGCCCCGCUGGAACGGGUCCGACGGUGAGGGACGAAGGCCA
rnacentral:rRNA from 1 species